UUUGGGACGAACGCGGAGUUUGCAGUCCCACGAACUCGCAGUAACAGCAGCAAAUGGAACUUAACAAGACAUUCAUUAAUUGCAACCUACUAUCUUAUCAAGGGGAAGUAAUACAGGAGACUAUGAGAAGGGAGUGGGCCACCUGACCAACGCCAUUGCUGUGUGUGGUUAACUCCGGCCGCUCCUCUAGGUGCUCCGCAGACCUACUCCUGUCUUUUAGAUCCUGCUGAAACGGUCCACUGUCAGCCAGUUUCCCGUGUGCAUCAAGAAUGGUCCACCACCCAAAGGAUAUACAGCCAACUUGACACAACUAUGGGAGGCAUUGGUGUCUACAUAAGCCAGUGUCUCAUGUAGAGUCCAUGCUAAGAUUAAUUGAUGUUGUUCUGAAAGCAAAAGGUUGGGUUGCAACUCAAUAUUAGGAAGGUGUUCUCAGGGUAUAUAUUUUAUGAAACAUACAAAUUAUAACCUGUUUCCUGACCACAGGUGCUUUUUCUAGGACAAUAAUUACUGUAACCUUUAGGACAAUUUCUCCAUCACAGGUCCCCAUGUGUACAGUAAGGUAUAUCGUUAACAUAACUUGUGAUGGUUUAAAUGUUCCGAUUAGGCAUGACAAAUCAAUUACCUAUUUACAUUAUACUUCACACAAACAUUUCAUAUGCAUUGAAUAUAGGAUUUUCACCAUUGUGUAGUAAGAUGUAUCUUAAAAAGUAUUGACUCGAGCAAAUAUGAUGUAACAAUACUGGAUGGGUAGCGCAAGCAGGUGAGCUUCCUCUAUCUUUAAGGGAAACACUGAGGGUGGAAUUUCAGAGUCUCCGACUAGGUCGAGGUGAAGUCAAGGAUAGUUCACUCAGGCCGUUUAAGUAGACAAUGGUAAGAGGGUGGAUCUCCCAUAGACACCCAAUGUGAUAUCAGCUGGGUCUGGUCUACUUAGUUCAUUGAUAUCCACUGAAACAGAAAAAAUGAGGGAGUGGUAUGUCUCGCUUCAUCUUCCGUCUCUGGUGAAGCUCUUGAUUCACCUGGCUUGACCAAGAGGUUAUGUGAUGGGGUCCAGCUGAGGUCACUAUGAAGGAGAUGGGAGACCACGCACCUACUUAAAGGGAUACUUUGGGAUUUUGGCAAUGAGGCCCUUUAUCUACUUCCCCAGAGUCAGAUGAACUCAUGGAUACCAUUUUUAUGUCUAUGCCUGCAGUUUGAAGUAAGUUGCUAGCUAACGCAAUUGCUAACUAGCGUUAGCGCAAUGACUGGAGGCUAACAUUAGUUAGCAUUGGCUAGCGAAACUACCUCUAACUUUCUUCAUACUUAACACCGAGACAGAAAAAUGCAUCCACAACUUUAUCUGACUCUGGGGAAGUAGUUCAAUUAGUUUUAAAGUAUCCCUUUAAAGCAUAGUCUACCUUGGUCAGUAGAGCAUUACUUGGCUUCUACUUUGGCUAUGUUACGCCCUGACCUUAGAGAGCCGUUUUAUUUCUCUAUUUGGUUAGGUCAGUGUGUGAUUUGGGUGGGCAUUCUAUGUUUUCAAUUUCUUUG